GCUGGGAUAGCUAAGUCAGUAAAGCAUGAGACUCUUAAUCUCAGAGUCAUGAGUUCGAGCCCAACAUUGGAGAAAUCCUGCA